AGGUGGGCACUCUAAGGAGACUGCCGGUGACAAACCGGAGGAAGGUGGGAUGACGUCAAGUCAUCAUGGCCCUUACGGCCUGGGCUACACACGUGCUACAAUGGUCGGUACAAAGGGUUGCCAAGCCGCGAGGCGGAGCUAAUCCCAUAAAACCGAUCGUAGUCCGGAUCGCAGUCUGCAACUCGACUGCGUGAAGUCGGAAUCGCUAGUAAUCGUGAAUCAGAAUGUCACGGUGAAUACGUUCCCGGGCCUU
rnacentral:rRNA from 1 species